GCUCUCCCCAACCUCCUCCCCACUCAAUUCUCUCCCUCAGGUCCUCUCCAAUGCGAUCCUUCCACCUUUUGGUCUGUCACGUCAAUCCUCUGCCUUCUAUCUCUAUAUCCGUGCCUUCUUCUGGCCCUCUGAUGUGACCGGACUAUUCUCCUGUCUUGUACUAUCACCUCCGUUACUUUGUUCCUCUUAUAAAACUAUUUCUCACUUAAUUCCUCCUUGUCACCCCAAGCAUCCGUCUUAAUACUCGUCUCUGUAAUCUCCAACUUGUUCUAUCUGCUUUCCCUAUUGGCUACGUCUCCGUAUCUUAUGACAAUGCGGGUUUAACUACCGAUUUGAACACUUUCCCCUUCAAUGUGACACUUAAUUUUCCGGUUCCAAUUCUUCUAACCUGAUUGGACCAAGUUCUCCAAUGCGUUUCUCCUGUUAAUAAAAUAGCAAACAUAUUAAUCUGUCACUAGAACCAUAAAAAAAUUAAAAAAACAUCUUUAAAAACCAGUACAACCUUCAUUAGAGUCAUUAGUAUUAGAGACACAGCUAACUGUUUCAAAAUAUGGUUCGUUAAGUCUUUCAGCGUGUCAUGCCCGCUCAGUUCACUUCACCAGUAGCAGCGGCGGUGAGAGGUCAAGGUGUAGGUCUCGUGGCUUGACGCAGCUCUUGAAGGAAUUAAAUGGCUCCUCCUUGGCCAAUCAGCACCGAGGCAAAGUUGAUUGAUAUACAGGUGUGAAUUCAGCUGCCUCCUCGCUGUUCCCGUUGCCAGGAUACCAUGUGAUCGAGGCAGUGUUGGGGAAGGUGAAAUUAUUCAUCAGGUGUGACGUGUGCUGCUUCACUCCAUCCCAUGAACAGUUGCCCACAGGAAUCUCUACCACAUCAGGCCUGACAUACUCAUUGCAAUCAGGGAGUAGAGUUUCAUCAGGAAGAGGGGCUGUGUCACUACCUGUAAGCCUGACGAGGUGUUAGUUAAGUCAAGGAGCGUCAUCAGGAAGAGGGGCCGAGUCUUGCUACCUGUAAGCCUGACAAGAGGAGUCAAAGAGGAGUCAAGGAAUUUUUCAUUGCAAUCAAGGAAGAGUCAAGUUGUAAGAAGAUUGUAAGGCAAGAAUUUUAAGCAGGAAUAAUUGUCAAGCAGUUAACAGCAGGAAGAAUGCAGCGAGAAAAGGGUACAAGAGUUUUCAAGUAAGAAGAUUGUAAGGCAAGAAUUUUGAGCAGGAAGGAUAUUGUUAAACAGUUUAGCAGCAGGAAGAGUCCCUUCAAGCUGUUGGUGGGAGUGACAAGCAUCCUUCAGGACUUGCAAAGGCUGAAGUCCUCAACAUUAGUCUCACUCAAGUUGACACAGGAGCUCUCUGACACAAGGAAAACAAAUCAUUUAUCCUAUGGUGUAUUUAUUAAACUUUUGUGAUUAAACAAUAAUGAUAAAACAAUAUAUAUAUUAUCUUGUACAUACUUAGGGAAUGAUUAAACAAUAAUGAUUUAUUAAACAAUAUAUAUAUUA